ensembl:processed_transcript Rian RNA imprinted and accumulated in nucleus
AAUGGAUAUCCUGCAAGUCGGCUUCGUAGAGUCUCCCUUGAAAGUGGACCUCAUGAUCUAGCCUUUAUGUCCGUGGAUUGACACUGUGAUGGAUUCCCCCCAAGUUCAUUUAGAUAUUCUCUCUUAUUCAUAAAUGUCACGGUCAGCUCUGUUCUUAUAGAUACCAGAAUGGAUACCCCUAAGCUGAUGUAUAUACACCCUUCCUCGGUUGUGAGAUUCCUGCUCUGGUGGUUGUAGUCAUAAGAUAUACAUCGUUGCGUACACCUUGGUUGUGGGCACGCACACUACUGUUGAAUUACCACCUUGUCCAAGUGGAUGGAUGCCCUCAAUGGGAUUGGCACUUUCUCCAUUGCUCCUGCACUCUGUUAUCAGCACUUCGGGUUCAUAAUGUACACACAGCAAUGGAUUUUCUGCAGCUGAUUUUCUAUAUUCUGUUUUCUUCGGGUAAGCAGAAACAGAUGCCUUCCUCACUGGUCACCAGGUUCAAGGUCCCUCAUAUGUGUCAGGUGCAUAGUCACCAACAAAGGCCAACUUCACAUCAAUGGGUGGAUCG